AAAAUCUGCUGGCUACAGGUAGACACAGCUGGACACAGUGCUAUUUCUAUAUAAAACUUCUAGAAAUGAGGGGAUACAGGCGGACACAAGUGGACACAACGCAAUUUCUUUAUAAAACUUAUAAAAUCUGCUGGCUACAGGUGGACACAGCUGGACACAGUGCUAUUUUUAUAUAAAACUUUAUGAAAUAGGGGGAUACAGGCGGACACAAGUGGACACAACGUUAUU
rnacentral:lncRNA from 1 species